GGAGUCUAGCAUGUGCGCGAGUCAUUGGGAUCAGCGAAACCUAAAGGCGAAAUGAAAGUGAAGGAACGCUUGCGCGUUUCGAGGGAGGAUGGGUCGCGCCAAGACGCGGCCCCGCACUCCCGGGGCGUCUCGUUCUCCUUCGGAGAUGAGGCGCACCCAGAGCGUACACGCUGGGACCCGAAAGAUGGUGAACUAUGCCUGGUCAGGACGAAGUCAGGGGAAACCCUGGUGGAGGUCCGUAGCGAUUCUGACGUGCAAAUCGAUCGUAGGAACUGGGUAUAGGGGCGAAAGACUAAUCGAACCAUCUAGUAGCUGGUUCCCUCCGAAGUUUCCCUCAGGAUAGCUGGCGCUCGCUUUGCGAGUCUCAUCCGGUAAAGCGAAUGAUUAGAGGCAUUGGGGUCGAAACGGCCUCAACCUAUUCUCAAACUUUAAAUGGGUGAGAUCUCCGGCUUGCUUGAACAGUGAAGCCGCGAGAUCGGAUCAGAGUGCCAAGUGGGCCAUUUUUGGUAAGCAGAACUGGCGCUGUGGGAUGAACCAAACGCCGAGUUAAAGCGCCUAAAUCGACGCUUAUGGGAUACCAUGAAAGGCGUUGGUAACUUAAGACAGCAGGACGGUGGCCAUGGAA
rnacentral:rRNA from 1 species